rnacentral:rRNA from 1 species
CGAAAGCCUGACGGAGCAACGCCGCGUGUGGGAAGAAGGCCUUUGGGCUGUCAACCACUUUUCUCAGGGAAGAAGUUCUGACGGUACCUGAGGAAUCAGCCUCGGCUAACUCCGUGCCAGCAGCCGCGGUAAUACGGAGGAGGCAAGCGUUAUCCGGAAUUAUUGGGCGUAAAGCGUCCGCAGGGGGCGCAUCAAGUCUGCUGUUAAAGGCUGGAGCUCAACUCCGGUAGAGCAGUGGAAACUGGUGCGCUAGAGGGCGACAGGGGUAGAGGGAAUUCCCAGUGUAGCGGUGAAAUGCGUAGAGAUUGGGAAGAACACCGGUGGCGAAAGCGCUCUACUGGGUCGCACCUGACCCUCAGGGACGAAAGCUAAGGUAGCG